rnacentral:rRNA from 1 species
AGAGUUUGAUCCUGGCUCAGAACGAACGCUGGCGGCGUGCCUAACACAUGCAAGUCGCACGCAGUUAAGGGGGCAACUCCUUGAUUGAGUGGCGCACGGGUGAGUAACACGUAGGUAACCUGCCCUUCACUGGGGAAUAACCUGUCGAAAGACGGGCUAAUUCCGCAUACGUCCAAGACUGCUCCGGCAGAUUUGGGGAAAGGCGGCCCGCAAGGGCUGUCGGUGAUGGAUGGGCCUGCGUACCAUUAGCUAGUUGGUAGGGUAAUGGCCUACCAAGGCUACGAUGGUUAGCUGGUCUGAGAGGAUGAUCAGCCACACUGGAACUGACACACGGUCCAGACUCCUACGGGAGGCAGCAGUGGGGAAUAUUGCGCAAUGGGCGAAAGCCUGACGCAGCAACGCCGCGUGAGGGAUGAAGGUUCUCGGAUUGUAAACCUCUGUCGGGGGGGACAAAACCUAUGCUGGCUAAUAUCCAGCAUAAUUGAUGGUACCCCCAAAGGAAGCACCGGCUAACUCCGUGCCAGCAGCCGCGGUAAUACGGAGGGUGCAAGCGUUGUUCGGAAUUAUUGGGCGUAAAGCGCACGUAGGUGGCUUUAGAAGUCCGGUGUGAAAUCCCUCGGCUUAACCGAGGAAGUGCGCCGGAAACCAUAAAGCUAGAGUAUCGGAGGGGAGAGUAGAAUUCCCAGUGUAGAGGUGAAAUUCGUAGAUAUUGGGAGGAAUACCGGUGGCGAAAGCGACUCUCUGGACGAUUACUGACACUAAAGUGCGAAAGCGUGGGUAGCAAACAGGAUUAGAUACCCUGGUAGUCCACGCCGUAACGAUGGGUACUAGUGUCACGGGAUUUGACCCCUGUGGUGCCGUCGCUAACGCAUUAAGUACCCCGCCUGGGAAGUACGGCCGCAAGGUUGAAACUCAAAGGAAUUGACGGGGGCCCGCACAAGCGGNGGAGCAUGUGGUUCAAUUCGACGCAACGCGAGGACNUACUNGCUUGACAUGUAGAGAUCCUGAUGAAGUNGGGAGUGCCCGCAGGAGCUCCUAAC